rnacentral:rRNA from 1 species
AAUCAACGCUGGCGGCGUGCCUCAGACAUGCAAGUCGAACGAUUAAGACUCUCUUCGGAGAGUGUAUAAAGUGGCGCACGGGUGAGUAACACGUAGGUAAUGUACCGAAGGGUGGGGAAUAACUUAGGGAAACUUAAGCUAAUACCGCAUAAUGCAGCGGCUCGACAUCGAGACAGUUGUUAAAGGAGCAAUCCGCCUUUUGAGCAGCCUGCGGCAGAUUAGCUAGUUGGUAAGGUAAUGGCUUACCAAGGCUACGAUCUGUAACCGACCUGAGAGGGUGGUCGGUCACACUGACACUGAAUAACGGGUCAGACUCCUACGGGAGGCAGCAGUUGGGAAUUUUGGGCAAUGGGCGAAAGCCUGACCCAGCAACGCCGCGUGAAGGAUGAAGUAUUUCGGUAUGUAAACUUCGUAAGAAUAGGAAGAAUAAAUGACGGGUACUAUUUGUAAAGGUCCGGCUAACUACGUGCCAGCAGCCGCGGUAAUCUGAGUCGGAG